AUACAUAGGGGGCGAGCGUUAUCCGGAUUUAUUGGGCGUGAAGGGUGCGUAGGCGGUAAAUUAAGUCUAAGGUUAAAGUGCAGGGCUCAACCCUGUGAUGCCUUAGAAACUGGUUUACUUGAGUUUGGUAGAGGUAAGUGGAACUCCAUGUGUAGCGGUAAAAUGCGUAAAUAUAUGGAAGAACACCAGUGGCGAAGGCGGCUUACUGGGCCACAACUGACGCUGAGGCACGAAAGCGUGGGGAGCAAACAGGAUUAGAUACCCUGGUAGUCCACGCUGUAAACGAUGAAUACUAAGUGUUGGAAAAAUCCAGUGCUGAAGUUAACGCAUUAAGUAUUCCGCCUGAGUAGUACGUACGCAAGUAUGAAACUCAAAUGAAUUGACGGGG
rnacentral:rRNA from 1 species